rnacentral:rRNA from 1 species
AGCGAACGCUGGCGGCAGGCUUAACACAUGCAAGUCGAGCGGGCGUAGCAAUACGUCAGCGGCAGACGGGUGAGUAACGCGUGGGAACGUACCUUUGGUUCGGAACAACACAGGGAAACUUGUGCUAAUACCGGAUAAGCCCUUACGGGGAAAGAUUUAUCGCCGAAAGAUCGGCCCGCGUCUGAUUAGCUAGUUGGUGAGGUAACGGCUCACCAAGGCGACGAUCGGUAGCUGGUCNGAGAGGAUGAUCAGCCACACUGGGACUGAGACACGGCCCAGACUCCUACGGGAGGCAGCAGUGGGGAAUUUUGGACAA